rnacentral:rRNA from 1 species
AAUUUUAAGGUCAAGCUACAAAGGGCGCAUGGUGAAUGCCUUGGCACUAGGAGCCGAAGAAGGACGCGAUAAGCUGCGAUAAGCCUUGGGUAGCCGCAAAUAGGCUGAGAUCCAGGGAUUUCCGAAUGAGGAAACUCACAUGGGUAACCCCAUGUAUCAUGCACUGAAUACAUAGGUGUAUGAGGGUAAACCCGGGGAACUGAAACAUCUAAGUACCCGGAGGAAGAGAAAGAAAAAUCGAUUUCCUAAGUAGCGGCGAGCGAACGGGAAAGAGCCCAAACCAGAAACUUGUUUCUGGGGUUGUGGAUAGAUCAUAAAAGAAGAGGUAUCUUAAUCGAAGAGGGCUGGAACGCCCUACCAUAGAAGGUAAUAGUCCUGUAGGUAAAAAGAGAAAACUUCGAGAUCUAAUCCAGAGUACCACGAGACACGUGAAACCUUGUGGGAAGCAGGGAGGACCACCUCCCAAGGCUAAAUACUACCUAGUGACCGAUAGUGAAGCAGUACCGUGAGGGAAAGGUGAAAAGAACCCCGGAAGGGGAGUGAAAUAGAACCUGAAACCGUGUGCCUACAACCGAUCGGAGCACGUUAAAGUGUGACGAUGUGCUUUUUGUAGAACGAGCCAGCGAGUUACGCUAUGUAGCAAGGUUAAGUACUUAAGGUAUGGAGCCGAAGGGAAACCGAGUCUGAAAAGGGCGAAAAGUUGCAUGGUGUAGACCCGAAACCGGGUGACCUAUCCAUGGCCAGGUUGAAGCGAGAGUAAAAUCUCGUGGAGGACCGAACCACGUUGGUGUUGAAAAACCAUGGGAUGAGCUGUGGAUAGCGGAGAAAUUCCAAUCGAACUCGGAGAUAGCUGGUUCUCCUCGAAAUAGCUUUAGGGCUAGCGUCGUGUAAUUGAGUAAUGGAGGUAGAGCACUGAAUGGGCUAGGGGCUAUAGUAGUUACCGAACCCUAUCAAACUCCGAAUGCCAUAUACUUGUAUCACGGCAGUCAGACUGCGAAUGAUAAGAUCCGUAGUCAAAAGGGAAACAGCCCAGACCAUCAGCUAAGGUCCCAAAGUGUAAGUUAAGUGGAAAAGGAUGUGGGAUUUCUAAGACAACUAGGAUGUUGGCUUAGAAGCAGCCACUCAUUUAAAGAGUGCGUAAUAGCUCACUAGUCAAGAGAUCCUGCGCCGAAGAUGUCCGGGGCUCAAACUUACCACCGAAGCUAUGGGUGUACACUAUGUGUACGCGGUAGAGGAGCUUUCUGUAUGGGUUGAAGUCGUACCGUAAGGAGCGGUGGACUGUACAGAAGUGAGAAUGCUGGCAUAAGUAGCGAGAAAUAAGUGAGAAUCUUAUUGGCCGAAAACCUAAGGUUUCCUGAGGAAGGUUCGUCCGCUCAGGGUUAGUCGGGACCUAAGCCGAGGCCGAAAGGCGUAGGUGAUGGACAAUCGGUUGAUAUUCCGAUACCACCUAUUUACGUUUGAGAAAUGGGGUGACGCAGUAGGAUAAGAUGUGCGCACUAUUGGAUGUGCGUCUAAGCACUUAGGCAUGCUUGAUAGGCAAAUCCGUCGAGCUAAGCUGAGGUGUGAUGGGGAGCCAUUUAUGGCGAAGUAUCUGAUUCCACACUGCCAAGAAAAGCCUCUAUCGAGUGAAUAGGUGCCCGUACCGCAAACCGACACAGGUAGGUGAGGAGAGAAUCCUAAGGCCAUCGGAAGAAUUGCUGUUAAGGAACUCGGCAAAUUGACCCCGUAACUUCGGGAGAAGGGGUGCCUACGAAAGUAGGCCGCAGAGAAUAGGCCCAAGCAACUGUUUAGCAAAAACACAGGUCUCUGCUAAAGCGAAAGCUGAUGUAUAGGGGCUGACGCCUGCCCGGUGCUGGAAGGUUAAGGGGAACACUUAGCGUAAGCGAAGGUGUGAACUUAAGCCCCAGUAAACGGCGGC